rnacentral:rRNA from 1 species
GACGAACGCUGGCGGCGCGCUUAACACAUGCAAGUCGAGCGAGAACCGGCCUUCGGGCCGGGGAAAGCGGCGAACGGGUGAGUAACACGUGGGUAAUCUGCCCUCGGCACCGGGAUAGCCCGGGGAAACCCGGAUUAAUACCGGAUGGCCCUCUGAAUCCUCGGAUUCACAGGAAAAGGUAGCUUCGGCCUCCGGCCGAGGAUGAGCCCGCGGUGGAUUAGGUUGUUAGUGGGGUAACGGCCUACCAAGGCGACGAUCCGUAGCUGGUCUGAGAGGACGAUCAGCCACACUGGGACUGAGACACGGCCCAGACUCCUACGGGAGGCAGCAGUGGGGAAUCUUGCGCAAUGGGCGAAAGCCUGACGCAGCGACGCCGCGUGAGGGAAGAAGGCCUUCGGGUUGUAAACCUCUUUCAGGAGGGACAAAGCCACUCGGGUGAAUAGCCCAGAGGGUGACGGUACCUCCAGAAGAAGCCCCGGCUAACUACGUGCCAGCCGCCGCCGUAA